CGAUGCAACGCGAAGAACCUUACCUGGUCUUGACAUCCCGGAGACCCUUAGGAAACUAGGGGUGCUUCCAUCUGGAAGAAUCUGGAGACAGGUGCUGCAUGGCUGUCGUCAGCUCGUGUCGUGAGAUGUUGGGUUAAGUCCCGCAACGAGCGCAACCCUUGCCUUUAGUUGCCAGCAGUUCGGCUGGGCACUCUAAAGGGACUGCCGGUGUUAAACCGGAGGAAGGUGGGGAUGACGUCAAGUCCUCAUGGCCUUUAUGACCAGGGCUACACACGUACUACAAUGGCCGAUACAAAGGGCAGCGACACUGCGAGGUGAAGCCAAUCCCGUAAAAUCGGUCUCAGUCCGGAUUGGAGUCUGCAACUCGACUCCAUGAAGUUGGAAUCGCUAGUAAUCGUGGAUCAGCAUGUCACGGUGAAUACGUUCCCGGGCCUU
rnacentral:rRNA from 1 species